rnacentral:rRNA from 1 species
UACGUAGGGUGCGAGCGUUAAUCGGAAUUACUGGGCGUAAAGCGUGCGCAGGCGGUUCGCUAAGACCGAUGUGAAAUCCCCGGGCUUAACCUGGGAACUGCAUUGGUGACUGGCGAGCUAGAGUGUGGCAGAGGGGGGGUAGAAUUCCACGUGUAGCAGUGAAAUGCGUAGAGAUGUGGAGGAAUACCGAUGGCGAAGGCAGCCCCCCUGGGCUAACACUGACGCUCAUGCACGAAAGCGUGGGGAGCAAACAGG